rnacentral:rRNA from 1 species
UACGUAGGGUGCGAGCGUUAAUCGGCAUUACUGGGCGUAAAGUGGGCGCAGGCGGCCGAGCAAGUCGAGUGUGAAAGCCCCGAGCUUAACUUGGGAACUGCGCUCGAAACUACUUGGCUAGAGUGUGGCAGAGGGAGGUGGAAUUCCACGUGUAGCGGUGAAAUGCGUAGAGAUGUGGAGGAACACCGAUGGCGAAGGCAGCCUCCUGGGCCAACACUGACGCUCAUGCACGAAAGCGUGGGGAGCAAACAGG